CACCGGCAUAAUUAAUUCCCUCCACCUUCUCUCUAGCACCUCCCACGUCUUCUCUUUUUAUAGCAGUUCUUUCUCUCGGAAAAUCUCAGGUUACUUGACUGGGAGUUCUCAGACCUCCAGUUUCAGCCCUGCCCUCAGCCUCCAGUCAGUGAGAGACACCCAGCCCCAGCAAAUGGAUUGGGCAGCCCGUCUUGACACACCACUGUGCUGAGUGCUUGAGGACGUGUUUCACCAGAUGGUUGGGGUUAGCGUGUGUCAUCACAUUUGAGUGGGGAUUAGGAGCAGGAAGGCUGCCUCGCCGGAGCUGUGUGGUCUUCUCCAAGCGAGAGUUGCAGGCAAGAGAACUACUUGCUUGGGGAAGAAGAGGAGGAAUUCGUUGUCUGCAGCCACAAGAAAAGCAGUUUUUUCAGAGCUUCACGCUGGCAAGAAAAAAGAAAAUGUUCUGGAUAUAG
rnacentral:lncRNA from 1 species